GGGAGCGCUUCAAGGGUUAUCA
rnacentral:siRNA from 1 species